rnacentral:lncRNA from 1 species
CUUUCCAGGGAAGAUGUGCCACCUCCAAAGAGCCGUACGUCCACUGCCAGAAGCUACAUCGGCAGUAAUCAUUCAUCCCUGGGAUCCAUGUCUCCUUCCAACAUGGAAGGAUAUUCCAAGACUCAGUAUAACCAAGUACCAAGUGAAGACUUUGAACGCACUCCUCAGAGUCCGACUCUCCCACCUGCUAAGGUAGCUGCCCCUAAUCUAAGUCGAAUGGGCGCGAUUCCUGUGAUGAUUCCAGCACAGAGCAAGGAUGGGUCUAUAGUAUAGAGCUUCCAUACGUCUCAUCUGUGCUCUCCGUGUUCCUUUCCUUUUUUUGAUAUAUCAAAACCUAUUCUGGUCUAAAUUUUGUUACUAGCCUCAAAAUACAUCAAAAAAUAAGUUAAUCAGGAACUGUACGGAAUAUAUUUUUAAAAAUUUUUGUUUGGUUAUAUUGAAAUAGUUACAGGCAUUAAAGUUAGUAAAGACAAGUUUACCAUCUGAAAAA